GGCCAGUGUACAGUAGCUCUCUGAGCCUUCUUUUGUUCUCAGAAAGGCACCAUCAAGAGUGUGUACAUAAAAGGAAGGGACCCAAGGCCUGGACUGCCCCAGAAAGCUAGAGGGCUUGCUCCUGUUUGGAACCUCUACUGAGCUCCAUGGCAUUGUUUGGAACAGGCACACUGGUGGCUUCCCUGGUCUCAGGGAUAACAGCUUCAGCAGCCAUAGGCAAAGCUGGAGGGGCAGUCUCUGGCACCGUUCUAGCUGCCUCACAGGGGCUCAACCUGCUAGCCCAGACUGCCCUGGGCUCAGGAGCAUCUGUGCUUGGAUCUGCGUUGGGAGUACUGAAGGUUGGCACCAUCCUAUCGGGGUGCCCUGCCUCUGUCUUGGCUGUUUGCCCCACUGGAGGAGCCGCAGGACUCUCUAUGUCAUCAAAAUUCCUCGUGGGCUCUGCAGGAUCUGCUCUGGUGACCUCUGUGAUGUGCAUCUGAGACUUGUAGCCCUUCUCUGCCCAGAGAAGGGGACAUGGAAGCAGAGGUGACCGGUCCCAGUUUGUCCAAUCCCAGAGAGGGAUCAUUUAACCCCCGUGGACAAUCUGCCAAUGCCAAAUGCCUAAUUGGAAAUAAGAAAUAAAAUCAAUUGCUGCUGCCUGCCUUA